CCUAAGACUUUUGCUGAGGACUUGCAUGUUUCCUUGUAUAUGGCAGUGAGAGAUAAAGGCUACUUUCUGACAGAGUGAUUCUGCACAUGCUCUGAUAUGUACAGGGGUACAACAUACUAGAUUGUACAACAGUACCUCCCCACUUCUAAGGUCUACAACUUCUACAAUAUUAAUACAAUAUUAAUUAAUUACACCUCACAGAGUGUAUUAUACAUAUGACAGAACACUUUUAGCUAGUAAAAUAUUUUAAAUGGCUUUUCUGAUCACCUAGUAAUCAUUUCUUAUUCAAGUUUAGCACAUAGCAGUACAUAGCAGCACAUAGCAGUACAGUGUGAGCGUGUGAAUUUUCUGGAUGGUGUGUGCAUAGAACACAGGAAAGAUCAGUUGAGAACUGUCUGGUCUUGCAUAGGAAAAUCUCCCAUAGUACCUGGCAGCAAAAUCAUAGUGGCAAUCAUUAAUAUCCUUUUCAUGUUUCAGCUUUAAUUGAAAUAGGAGUUUAUGGAUUCACUGGAAGACUGCAAGCCAUCUUCAUGGUUUUUAAGUGGUACCAUCCUCUGUAAUCUAAUUGAUCUUUAGGCUAUGUAGCUUGCGGGGGCAGUGGGGCGCAUUGUUAGGUAUGAUUAUUGUCACGUAAUGGUUAAGGACAGUGUACCUUGUGUGCAGAGUGCAAGCAAGGACUCUGGCAUGACUAGCUACAGCAUAAUUAAAAAGGAGAGCCAGAAGGUAACAAAGACAUGAGGAUGCCUGGGACAUAAAGUGGCCAGCCACAGUUCAGAGCUAUGCUGAUCUUUAUAUAACCUUCUCCAUCUUUUUUCCUCCUAACAACUUCAUCUCAAAGCUUCAUGGGCAGUUCCUUGGUGCUCAUGAUAGCAGGAUUGAUCUGAUCUGAUGUUUUAGCUGUGAGAACUCCCAAGCUGAAAACGUGUAGACCAGGGCAGUAUCCCUGUGAAUGCAGGUUUCAUGAUUGAUGAAACCAAAACAUAGUGAGAUUGGCAGCAAAGCCUUGACACCUAGGCAAAGGUGGAGCCUCCUGGUUAAGGAUUUCAUCAAAGCCUACAUUGUUCACCGUCCAUCUCAAACCACUGGUCAUGAAGAGUCUGAAACCUAUCCCUGGGAAUUCAGGGCACAAGGCGGGGGACACCCUGGACGGGGUGCAAAUCUAUCGCAGGGCACAAUCACACCCACACACACACCUACAUGCACACACACACACACGCACAC